rnacentral:rRNA from 1 species
UACAUGUGGGGCAAGCGUUGUUCGGAAUUACUGGGCGUAAAGGGCGCGUAGGCGGCCUGCUAAGUCGGACGUGAAAUCCCUCGGCUCAACCGAGGAACUGCGUCCGAUACUGGUGGGCUUGAAUCCGGGAGAGGGAUGUGGAAUUCCAGGUGUAGCGGUGAAAUGCGUAGAUAUCGGGAGGAACACCAGUGGCGAAGGCGGCCACCUGGACGGCUACUGACGCUGAGACGCGAAAGCGUGGGGAGCAAACAGG